AACGAACGCUGGCGGCAUGCCUAACACAUGCAAGUCGAACGAGACCUUCGGGUCUAGUGGCGCACGGGGGCGUAACGCGUGGGAACCUGCACUUAGGUUCGGAAUAACUCCCCGAAAGGGGUGCUAAUACCGGAUAAUGUCUUAGGACCAAAGAUUUAUCGCAUUUGGAUGGGCCCGCGUUGGAUUAGCUAGUUGGUAGGGUAAAAGCCUACCAAGGCGACGAUCCAUAGCUGGUUUGAGAGGAUGAUCAGCCACACUGGGGCUGAGACACGGCCCAGACUCCUACGGGAGGCAGCAGUGGGUAAUAUUGGACAAUGGGCGAAAGCCUGAUCCAGCAAUGCCGCGUGAGUGAUGAAGGCCGUAGGGUUGUAAAGCUCUUUUACCCGGGAUGAUAAUGACAGUACCGGGUGAAUAAGCUCCGGCUAACUCCGUG
rnacentral:rRNA from 1 species